AAAAAAAAGUUUAAAAACCUUUUACACAAGUCACCACCUCAAGUGCCAUCAAUGCUAAAUGUUACACAUCUGAAAGAGCACGCCACACUUCACUCAACCGGAUGUGACGCAACCGCUCACCAAGACUGGCGUUUCGCUCCUAAUAAGGCAUGAGGAACUGAGAAGUCCAAGGAGGUGAGCUCAUCACCGAAAAGCCGACACAGGGAGGCAUUUCGAGAAGGCAGGAUCCUGCCUCGAGCAUGCCUCUGAAGGGUGUGUGAACUGAAAUCCAGCUGUUCCAUGCUGUGUAUGAUGAACCAAACCCCUUCCUGCUCCUCCAGGUGAACAUUUCAGAGAAGAAAAAGGAAAGGCUGAAGCUGAGGGAGGGUUUACCUGCUCUCUGGCGCGCUUGUCCUCCUCGACCUGCCGCUGUAAAAUCUCGGCUCUUUCUUCUGCCUCAUCAGCUUGCUGCUGCAAAACUUUAAUCUUUCUCUUUACAGCGUCGAUGCUGCUUCCUCCGGCCAUUCUUUUCCUUGAAAGAGAAGUAGUGUGAGCAAGGGAUCGAGCUUGUCUCCUCCUGAGCCUUUGUGCACAGAGUGGUGUGUGUUGGGGAGGGCUGGAGGAACAAACCAACGCCCCGCCAACGAGUCAACUUGGAGCACUCGAGGACAAGCCAGAACGAGAUGAGACGAGACCCUUUCGGCUGCUGGAGAGGAUAUGCUUCCAAACGCGAGCUUUUAUAAACAGGCAGCGCACAAAGUUGUGUUUCUUCUCAGUAGGACGUGGCAAGUUAUCCAAAUUCGCAGACUUCCGGGUUUUGACCCUACUUAAUUAUUUAUUUUUUUUAAAUAAA